rnacentral:lncRNA from 1 species
AUUCCUUACUGGAGCUUCAGCGCCGUCUAGCUGCUGCCCAGCGUCAGCGACUUUACCUGCUCAUUACCUAGGCACAUCACUAGGCUUCCAAGGGGGAGAGCGGCACAGUAAGUCUCGGCUUGGUCACUUAAAGGCGGGGUAACCUACCCGUGUCACCCAAGUUCUGAGCCAGAGUUUUCCAGGUCUGGAAACUAGGGAUAAUUAGUAAUAGCCACCUUGUCGCCUCUUGGCUGUUGUGAGGAUCAAAUAAGAGUGUUUUGUAAACUGUAAAGUAUGCUGUGCAAGCUUAAGGUAUUAUUAGUCAUCACUGUUUGUCAGCCCUGAUCUUAUUUCCUCACAUCGAGGGGUGGAAAUGGAAGCUUACUGAAGUCAGUUUUCUUCCAAGUCUUAACAACUCACCAACAAUGGCGCAAACCCUUCGGCCGCGCUCCUGAAUAUUUCCCAUUAAUGAGCUCCUCGUUGGAUCCCUUCCUCAUGCAAGUGUUGGGUCUUCACUUGCUGGCACGAAUUGCCAGGGCAAGACUGACCUCAGGUCUUCCUACUACUACCUCCAACCCCCUACUUAAUUGGCCCAAAUCUCCGGCCACCUGGUGGACUCUGGGCUGCUCUCUAGGUCGAGGCUCCUCUUCUAGCAGCCUGCUCUUUUGGCACAGCCUCAGGCAAAGGAAGGAAAUACUGGGCAGCACCACACCCAUCGCUCCGGGCCUGACUCAAUAAGGCUUUGCGGGGGAGCCAGAAGUCUUUUAGAGGGAGGAGUAAGGGAUAGAAGAUAGGGUGUCCCCAGCCCACUGUCUCCUCGAUAUUAGUGGCAUGGGAAAGCCCCAUACAUUUGCUCUCUUGCUCACUAGCUUACUCUACUGGCUCAGCCCGCGAU